UCACCCUCCCUAGUUUUCUCCCGCCUAUAUACCACCGUCGCACAGCUUACCCUGUGAAGGCCUAAUAGUAAGCACAAUUGGCACAGCCCAAAACGUCAGGUCGAGGUGUAGUGCAUGAGAGGGGAAGAAAUGGGCUACAUUCGCUGCCUACAGCGAAUACGAAUGGUGCAUUGAAAUAUGCAGCUGAAGGAGGAUUUAGCAGUAAGCAGAAAGCAGAGUGUUCCGCUGAAACCGGCUCUUAAGCGCGCACACACCGCCCGUCACCCUCCCCGAGCAUCUGGCCCUUAAUUUUCUUAAACCCCAACAAACGCGAAGGAGAGGAAAGUCGUAACAUGGUAAGUGUACCGGAAGGUGCGCUUGGUUAAA
rnacentral:rRNA from 1 species